AAUCAAAUAGUCCUUCAGAGUCCCUCCCGUCCUCCCUCCCUCCUUCUUCCUCUCUCUCCCCCAUCUCUCCUCUUUUAAACAGAGAUGAGGUCUCUAUGUUGCCCAGGCUGGUCUCAAGCUACUGAGCUCAAGCACUCCACCCACCUCUGCCUCCCAAAGUGCUGGGAGUACAAGCAUGAGCCACUGUACUGGGCCCAGACCUUUUUCUGAAACUUCCCUUUAUUUUUUGUGUCCUUCCCAUGGAUGCUGGGCUCCAUACCCACACUCCAACACUGCGCCCAACCUGAGAUCUCUCUACACAGUAGGAACUGAUGUUUCCGAGACCAGCUCUGAGACACCACCCGCCCUGGCCACUGGCACCCCCCGUUUCUGUCAGCUCCUCCCAGCUUAACACACAGUCACCACCUCAUACAUGCACUUUUCCUUAUAUAUAGAACACUGUAAAUUACACAUUUAAUAUAUUCAUAUGUUUAAGUCAGUGUGAGAACAAAUAAAGCAUAUUUUGACCUCUAUGACAGGGGGCUGGCUCUGUCUCAUAGUAGGCACUCAAAAAUUUUUAGGAAGAAAUAAGGACUCCUGGGCCUGAAGGGAUCUUAGGGAAUCCUAUCAUCCUACAGUCCUCGGGAAACACUCCCUGCAACUGCAUAGGCUUUGGAGACAGACUUGGAUUCAAACCAGCAUCAGCUCACCUAGUCAGGUGUGGUGGUGGGAGCCUGUAAUCUCAGCUACGCUAGAGGCUGAGGCAGGAGAAUUGAUUGAACCGAGGAGGCAGAGGAUGCAGUGAGCUGAGACUGCGCCACUGCAUUCCAGCCUGAGCGAGACUCCAUCUGAAUGAAUGAAUGAAUGAAUGAAUGAAUGAAUGAACUGGAACCAAAACUAGAACCAGGUCACCCGGCUCCUCAUGCCAUGUUCACUCCAUGGAUCACAUUGCCUCAAAGGCAAAGUCAAACAGCCCGUUGUGUUAGCAGGCCUCCCACUGACAGCUCUUUAGAGAUAGGCAAUUUGGGCCACCUGAGGAGGUUAUGAGGCCAGGACAGGAGAUCCGGGCAGUAGCAGGUAUGUUCAUUGUUAACUUGUGAAACACAACUAAGCUGCAAAGACUACACUUUGGACUCCACACUGACCAAUCUCACACGAGAUCUCUGUUUCUGGUGGGGACUGGGCAAUGCGGCAGAGUCAUGAGGCAUGAGUAUGGGAAGUCAGCUCUCACUAGCUCUGAGGCCUUGGCCGACUGCUGGCACCUUCUGAAAUGUAAGAUGGGGCCGAGCCUGUGGCUCACACUUGUCAUCCUAGCACUUUGGGGGGCAGAGGUGGGAGGAUCACUUGAGGCCAGGAGUUCAAGGCUACAGCAAGUUAUGAUCAUGCCGCUGCACUCCAGCCUGGUCAACAGAGCACGACCCUGUCUCAAAAAAAGUCAUAAUAAGAUGGCCCAUAGAGGCUCUGCUUUAAACACAAACACUUCAAUCACUUAUUACUUGUAUUGGCGAUGGUGAUGGGAACAACAUCCAGGCAGACUGUAGGAUAACACCUAAGGAUGUUAGUGUCUCUAGGAGUCAUCAAUUGGAACAUUCCUUCAUUCAAACUUUGAACAUUAGGGUGGGGUAGACUGAGACUCAGUCCAAGGAAAACAACUGACUGCCAUUCAGACCUGGCUCAGCCUAAGAAAAAAGUACGCUUUAGACUGCAGUAAGAGGAAUUGUGGUGAGAAGGGCCAUGUCACUCCCUCCCUUUUUCCUCCUUCCCCAUGAAGGUCAAUGAGAAACUGUAAAUAGCAAGGAUGAGGGAAAGUGAGGAGGCCAGGGAGGCCAUUGCAUUCAUCUGUGUUCUAAAAUAUCCAACUCAGCCACAUGCGGUGGCUCACGCCUGCAAUCUCAGCACUUUGGGAGGCCAAGGCAGGUGGAUCACUUGAGGUCAGGAGUUUGAGACCAGCCUGGCCACCACAGUAAAACCUCCAUCUCUACUAAAAAUACAAAAAUUAGCUGGGCGUGGUGACGCAUGCCUGUAGUCCCAGCUAUUAUGCUUGGGAGGCUGAGGCAGGAGAAUCGCUUGAACCCAGGGGUGGAGGCUGCAGUUGAGCCAAGAUUGUGCCACCGCACUCCAGCCUGGGUGACAGAGCAAGACUCUCUGUCAAAAAAAAAAAAAAAUCCAACUCAAUUCCAGGUCAUGCUUUGGGUCUGUCCAGGAGUAUGAACACUAGAGGAAUACAGAGCCUGACCUGGCUCUCAACUGUCGAGGCCUGGAGGUCCAGGAGGGUUGACCGCCCUUUAACACAUGUACCCCUCACAUACUAAUACAGAAAUGCUGUUACAUUCUAUGAUCUUCAUCCCCUAAACGACCUUAUUUCCAACUUCCUCUAGCACCUACCCAUCAGACCCCCAGGAUGAGAUGAAGUAAGAGGCUGAAAACAAGCAAGAUGACGAACAUGAGCAUAGCAGAACCAGAACGCAAGUCAUGGCUGGGGGGUGGCAAAAGGAACUGAAUACGGAACAGAAACCCUUAACUUCUCUUGCUGCUGCCCAAUCCUCUUGUGAUUCCAGACAGCCAUUUCAUUUAAAAUCCCUUUCAGAAGCCUGUCAUCUUGCAUUAGAGCUGGGAGGGGGGUUGUGUUCUGGGUUGGCUGAUGAUACAUGGACUUCUGAGACAUGCACCUAGGCGGACUCAACAAAUAUUAAACAUCUGCUCGGUCAGACCCUCUGCUCAACUCUGCACACACAAAAGACAAUGAGAUGCAGAAUGGUGGGUGCCAGGGGCUGGAAGGUGGAGGGUUCAGAGAGUCAGUGUUUAAUGGGUACAGAGCUUCAUUUGGGGAGGAUGAAGAAGUUCUGGAGAUGGAUAGUGGUUACAGUUGCACAACAAUGUGAAUGCACUUAAUGCCACAGAAGUGUACGCUGAAAAAUGGUUAUAAUGGUAAGUCUUACAUAUACUUAAUCACAUUAAAAAACAACAACAAC
rnacentral:lncRNA from 1 species